CUGUGUUGCUUACCAUCGUAUGGAAGUCGAUAGAUAUUCNUUUUUGCAUCCGCUCGGAGCCUUCUACGGCCCUGGGUGGACCGCAAGCCAUCCACGUGCGCCGCGCAUGCCUCGACUNUGUCGCUUGGCUGCUGCGGAGCACGUGGUUAUGCUCGUUCUCUCGGAUGCGGAUCGUCAAAUGCGGGCGAGGGAUGUUCGCAUCCGCUCGUCCAUGCUAUGCAUUUGCCAAUCUCGAUGCGGACGGCUGCCGUGCCGGUCUUGGCUCCUGGGGUCGCACGGCCCUCGCGAGUUCAUGCCGGCGCCGGCGUCGUGAAGGAAUGCUACCUGGUUGAUCCUGCCAGUAGUCAUA
rnacentral:misc_RNA from 1 species